rnacentral:rRNA from 1 species
AGCAGCCGCGGUAAUUCCAGCUCCAAUAGCGUAUAUUAAAGUUGUUGCAGUUAAAAAGCUCGUAGUUGAAUUUCGGGAUCAAUUUAUUGGUCGUGCCAACGGUACGCACUGGUACAAUUGGUUUCUCCUUUCUGACGAAGCAUGAUGUCAUUAACUUGAUGUCGUGGGGAAUCGGGACUGUUACUUUGAAAAAUUAGAGUGUUUAAAGCAGGCUUUGACUUGAAUACAUUAGCAUGGAAUAAUGAAAUAGGACGUUUGAUCUUAUUUCGUUGGUUUCUAAGAUCGACGUAAUGAUUAAUAGGGAUAGUUGGGGGCAUUAGUAUUCAAUUGUCAGAGGUGGAAUUCUUGGAUUUAUUGAAGACUAACUACUGCGAAAGCAUUUGCCAAGGAUGUUUUCAUUAAUCAAGAGCGAAAGUUAGGGGAUCGAAGACGAUCAGAUACCGUCGUAGUCUUAACCAUAAAUUAAUGCCGACUAGGGAUCGGAUGAUGUUAAUUUUAAU